rnacentral:lncRNA from 1 species
UUAAACAGUGUGCAAUAAAAAUCAUACAUCGUUGUACACUAAUCUUUGUUUGGAUCAUUGAUUACUGGAUUAGUGUGUUGGUGUGUACGUAUAUGCAAGCCCAUUCGUAGGAAAUUUUUUGAGUACAAAAAUAACACUGUCACGUAAUUUUAUCGUUUGAAUAUAAAGGUAGCAUAAUCUCGCAGAGGCUAUAAGUUCAUGUUUAGGAAUUUAAGGUAUAGGAUCUCAAUGAUUUACAGGCCUAUACAAGCCCAAACUCAAUACAAAUUCGAGCUAUAUG